UAAAAAAAUAUAUUAAAAAGAAAAACAUCAGGUUCUUUUCUUUUGAAACUUAGAUGUUGGGCAGCCUUCUGUGCCCUUUUUGUUAGACAGUUUUAUUCUCAGAGUCGAUGAGAGAUGUUCUCAGCUGUCAUUUGGUGGGAGAGGCUGGCAUCACAUUACCACUCCAUUUUUCUCUUUCAGGGACCUAGCAGGUGUUUGAGGACAAUGACUGACUCAUCUACUUACAUGGAGGUCUUGCAGUCAUACAUAUCACACUUGUCUUUAGAGCCCUAGUCUCAUCCGACUGUGAAUCCAUAGAACUACCCAUGGACUGUCUUUUCACAAAACCAGUAUUUCUGGCCCUCAGGAUAUGGUCCAGUUCAACUUUCCAAAUACAUACAUAGACAGGUCAGAUCAGUCAAGCAGAGAGAAGACUGGAAGAUAGGACAAAAUCCCUUUUUACUAGCCGUUGGGAGCUGGAUUUGAAAUUACCAUACCUCUGUGUUGAAGAAGUCCUAAGGCUGCUAUUUCUACUGGACUUGGGGCAAGAGAUGUUGUCGGGGGUCUUGCCUUUGACAUGGAUUCCAGCUACAUGCUCCUCAAAGGUAAGGGCUGUAUUAUUCACCUUUUCUUGUAUUCACCCUUACUGCUGUGCAAGUCAGCCAGUGUUCAAUAAAGAAAUAUACCUAAGAAUAAAA